rnacentral:rRNA from 1 species
GGGAAUCUUCGGCAAUGGGGGCAACCCUGACCGAGCAACGCCGCGUGAGUGAAGAAGGUUUUCGGAUCGUAAAGCUCUGUUGUAAGUCAAGAACGGGUGUGAGAGUGGAAAGUUCACACUGUGACGGUAGCUUACCAGAAAGGGACGGCUAACUACGUGCCAGCAGCCGCGGUAAUACGUAGGUCCCGAGCGUUGUCCGGAUUUAUUGGGCGUAAAGCGAGCGCAGGCGGUUUGAUAAGUCUGAAGUUAAAGGCUGUGGCUCAACCAUAGUUCGCUUUGGAAACUGUCAAACUUGAGUGCAGAAGGGG